GAUGAACGCUGGCGGCGUGCCUAAUACAUGCAAGUCGAGCGAACAGACGAGGAGCUUGCUCCUCUGACGUUAGCGGCGGACGGGUGAGUAACACGUGGAUAACCUACCUAUAAGACUGGGAUAACUUCGGGAAACCGGAGCUAAUACCGGAUAAUAUAUUGAACCGCAUGGUUCAAUAGUGAAAGACGGUUUUGCUGUCACUUAUAGAUGGAUCCGCGCCGCAUUAGCUAGUUGGUAAGGUAACGGCUUACCAAGGCAACGAUGCGUAGCCGACCUGAGAGGGUGAUCGGCCACACUGGAACUGAGACACGGUCCAGACUCCUACGGGAGGCAGCAGUAGGGAAUCUUCCGCAAUGGGCGAAAGCCUGACGGAGCAACGCCGCGUGAGUGAUGAAGGUCUUUGGAUCGUAAAACUCUGUUAUUAGGGAAGAACAAAUGUGUAAGUAACUAUGCACGUCUUGACGGUACCCAAUCAGAAAGCCACGGCUAACUACGUG
rnacentral:rRNA from 1 species